GUUAAGAAGUGUUAACGGUGAGUC
rnacentral:siRNA from 1 species